rnacentral:lncRNA from 1 species
UCCAUUCCUUUAGGAACCUCUUCCUGGUGACAAGGAAAAGUCAUCUGAGCCAUACCUGCCCCUUCCUGCAUGACAGCGCUGAUUUUGCCACUGAAGAGCACGUCCACAUGAUUGAGGAUGAAUUCAACAACCACGGACUGAAUUCUCACUUCCAUGAAGGCCGCUGUCCCACUGAAGCAAGCCGACUCUAUCUGCUUGGAUCUGUUGGGUGGGAACAGUACCAUCAGAAGUGUGAAAGGCGACCUCCUAACGCACAAUUCUUUAGCACAGAAGUUACAAAGACACCCACAGAAGAAAUGGGACUUUUCCAGCCCCUUAGCAUCUGCCUAGGUAGCUGCUUUAGGAAGAUGUUAGUACAAUAAUAGUUUGUUUUACUUUUUAAAUUUUUUUUGUUGAUAAACAAUGAUGCAAGGCGUUCUUUUUAAUUCAAGAAAAUGCAUUUUUUUUUAAAGUUCAUAAAUCAAAUACAAAUUACCUCAGCAGGUUUGGUGCCCACACGAUGGCAAGGUUUUUUGCAUGCAUAUUUGUGAUGGAGCAAUAGUCUGCUAGAAGAGACAGGUGUCUCAUCAGGAACUCCAGGGUUCUGGAAAGUAAAUAAAACGUGCUAACUGAGACAGACACGAUA